AGCCCGGGCCUCAGUUUCUCUGCUGGUUCUAAGGGAUGAAGCCUCUGUGUCCCUCAAGAGCCAUGGUAGCCGACCUCAGUUUUCGCGCUCGUCCUGGCGGGCUGGGCCCCCUGUUCUCCCCACCCCUCAGCCCCAGUGCAAGUCAUGGCCUCGGGGAGAGCCACUAAUUCAACCAAAGCGGAAGUCUCGGGCCUCAGUUUCUCCACUUGUACCCGAGAGAUCUCAGUUGAUACCCGGUUCCCACGGAGAUGGCUCCAGAAGUCAGAUUCCCGAAUAUUCCAGGAGGGCUGAGGACCGACCCUGAAUCCCUGCGCGCAGGCGCGAGGCCUCAGUUUCCCCUCUCGUCUAGUGGGCCGAGCCCCCCGCCCGCCCACUGGUGGUGGCCAUUGGCUGAGCACGCCCCUCGGGGCGGAGCCGUGUCACGUGGGGGAAGAAAGCAGCGGGGCGCGCAAGGAGCCGGGAGCUGGCGGAGCGGCCAUGGCAGCUCCGGAGCCACUGUCCCCGGCGGGCGGCCCGGGCGAGGAGGCGCCGGACGAGGACGAGGAGGAAGCGGAGGCCGAGGACCCCGAGCGGCCGGGGGGAGCGGGCGGCGCGCGCCCCGGUGGUGGUGGCGGCGGUGGCGGUGGCGGAGGCGGGGCCGGGGCGGGGGGCUGCUACGGGCCGGGGGGUGCGCUUACCAGGCGCGCGGUCACGCUGAGGGUGCUCCUCAAAGAUGAGCUUCUGGAGUCCGGCGUCGGGGUGCUGUCCAUCUACUACCUGGGGAAGAAAUUCGUGGGGGACCUGCAGCCAGAUGGGAGGAUCGUGUGGCAGGAAACUGGACAGGUGUUCAACUCGCCCAGUGCCUGGGCCACCCACUGCAAGAAGCUGGUCAACCCAGCCAAGAAGUCGGGCUGUGGCUGGGCCUCUGUCAAGUACAAGGGCCAAAAACUGGAUAAAUACAAGGCAGCCUGGCUCCGACGACACCAGCUCCAUGUUCCCACAGCUGCCACUGAUGAGAGCCCGGCCAGCGAAGGGGAGGAGGAGGAGCUGAUGAUGGAGGAAGAAGAGGAGGAGGUUGUGGCAGGAGCCUCAGCGGAGGACAAGAGUCGGAGAUCAUCGGCUAAGGGACCCUCGGAGCCCGCCCAUCCCGAGGCCACGCCCCCAGGGAAGCGGGUUGAAAACAAGAUCCGGGUGCCCGUGCGCUACUGCAUGCUGGGGAGUCGUGACUCGGCCAGGAACCCCCACACCCUGGUGGAAGUGACGUCCUUCGCAGCCAUCAACAAGUUCCAGCCGUUCAAUGUGGCUGUCUCUAGCAACGUGCUGUUCCUGCUGGACUUCCACAGCCACCUGACUUGCAGCGAGGUCGUGGGGUACCUGGGGGGCCGCUGGGACAUCAACAGCCAGAUGCUCACGGUGCUGAGAGCCUUUCCCUGUCGGAGCCGGCUGGGGGAUGUGGAUACUGCGGCCACCAUGGAGGAGGAGAUCCACCAGAGCCUGCUCCUGCGCGGCCUGUCCCUCGUGGGCUGGUACCACAGCCACCCGCACAGCCCGGCGCUGCCGUCGCUGCAGGACAUCGACGCGCAAAUGGACUACCAGCUGCGGCUGCAGGGCUCCAGCAACGGCUUCCAGCCCUGCCUGGCCCUGCUCUGCUCCCCUUACUAUUCUGGCAACCCCGGGCCAGAGUCCAAGAUCUCCCCGUUUUGGGUGAUGCCGCCCCCGGAGGGUGGAGCCGGAUUCUCCGAUCUCCCCCGCCCCCCGCCUACCCCGGGUGCAUCUGGCUUGGGACGGGAGGCCGGCGGUGACCGGCUUGUGUCCCUGCUAGCAAAGGCCCAGUGACUACGGCAUCCCCAUGGACGUGGAGAUGGCCUACGUCCAGGACAGCUUCCUGACCAAUGACAUCCUGCAAGAGAUGAUGCUGCUGGUGGAGUUCUACAAAGGUGCCCCUGACCUCGUGAGGUUCCAGGAGCCCUGGGACCAGGAGCACACCUACCUUGACAAGCUGAAGAUCUCCCUGGCCAGCAGGACGCCCCAGGACCAGGGCCUGUGCCAUGUGCUGGAGCAGGUGUACAGCGUUCUCAAGCAAGGGAGCUGAGACCAAGCCCCCGGCGGCCCUGGGGGAGGGAAAUGGACCCCGGGGCUG